rnacentral:misc_RNA from 1 species
GAUGAAGAACGCAGCGAAAUGCGAUACGUAAUGUGAAUUGCAAAUUCAGUGAAUCAUCGAGUCUUUGAACGCACAUUGCGCCCCCUGGUAUUCCGGGGGGCAUGCCUGUCCGAGCGUCAUUGCUGCCCUCAAGCACGGCUUGUGUGUUGGGCCCCGUCCUCCGAUCCCGGGGGACGGGCCCGAAAGGCAGCGGCGGCACCGCGUCCGGUCCUCGAGCGUAUGGGGCUUUGUCACCCGAUCUGUAGGCCCGGCCGGCGCUUGCCGAUCAACCCAAAUUUUUAUCCAGGUUGACCUCGGAUCAGGUAGGGAUACCCGCUGAACUUAAGCAUAUCAAUAAGCGGAGGA